rnacentral:rRNA from 1 species
GACGAACGCUGGCGGCGUGCUUAACACAUGCAAGUCGAACGGAAAGGCCCUGCUUUUGUAGGGUGCUCGAGUGGCGAACGGGUGAGUAACACGUGAGUAACCUGCCCUUGACUUUGGGAUAACUUCAGGAAACUGGGGCUAAUACCGGAUAGGAGCUCCUGCUGCAUGGUGGGGGUUGGAAAGUUUCGGCGGUUGGGGAUGGACUCGCGGCUUAUCAGCUUGUUGGUGGGGUAGUGGCUUACCAAGGCUUUGACGGGUAGCCGGCCUGAGAGGGUGACCGGCCACAUUGGGACUGAGAUACGGCCCAGACUCCUACGGGAGGCAGCAGUGGGGAAUAUUGCACAAUGGGCGGAAGCCUGAUGCAGCAACGCCGCGUGCGGGAUGACGGCCUUCGGGUUGAAAACCGCUUUCGCCUGUGACGAAGCGUGAGUGACGGUAAUGGGUAAAGAAGCACCGGCUAACUACGUG